UAUUCAACUAAAAAUCUGCAGUUUUACUUCUCCUAUGGCAGUGGCUGACCAAUUCGCAACUUUCCAUCAUACAUGCACAAGUCAUUGUUCAUGUAUUGUUGGUGAACAUAGGCUUCAAAUUCUAUAGAAGAAAUACUUUAUACUGCAUCCCAAACUUUUUUGCUAAGAGCCUUGGUAUUUGUAUAAUAUAUAGAUCAAAUAUAUAAGUGAAGGCUAGGAAACAAUGGCGGAAUAUUUUCACACUUUUUCAUAUAAAAAAAUAUCUCAUACUUGCUUCAACACUGAUGGGCAUUAAAAUUGAGCAAAAUUAAUGCAAAUCCAUAUUUGAAUACGGAUGCUGAUCAUGUCUUCCUUUGAACAUGGAGUUGUUUUUGUUCUUGAUAAUGGUGGAGAGUGUCCAAACUAGUAGUAAGCAGUUAGGCACCCACAGAUUACCUAAGGCAAAAGGGCAAUAGGCAAAAGGCCAAAGAGAAUCAAAACCCAUUACAUAAACAUAGAGAAUUACAAAAACUGUAGCAAACCCAAAUCCAAGAUAGUGAGACACCCAUAAAGCUCAGCUCUUCAAAGCACUUGAAGACUUGAGCUACUAGCCUCUGGUACCCUUCAAUCCCUAGUCAAUAAAGAUGAUGAAUUUUGUUUGUUUUUAACUUAUAUUCUUUCCCAUAAUUGUGGCUGAUAUUCUCUGCCGUCUAUGUUUGACUAGUGGGUUUUCUUCUCUCUAGAAUAAGCAGAAGGAAAUCUUGCUGCCCUUUGAUUUGUUUGGUAAGGUAAAGCUGGUUUUUGAGGCUUAUUGGUUCCAUUGUUGUUAAAGUUCAAAGCUUUAGAGGCAAACAUAUAUGAAUGAAAGUUUAUGGUGUAGUGGCAUAGACGUCUAGAGGACAAACAUAUAACAAAUUUUCAGGGAGAAAUAUCCAACUCGAGCUAACACCUACACUCCUAUAACACUCAGCUGAAUUAGAUACAAUUAGCCACUGCUUUUCAAUGAGAUAAAUCCAAAUGAAGAAACUUCUACACUAAAAUCCCAGAAGAGUUUCACCUAAAAACCAGCAACUUGUUGCUUGAAAUCAAGCAAAUAUUGAAAUUUGAAAUCUAGUUGGUAUCAGAUCCCUAGACCACAUAUAUGGAAGCAAAGAAACUCAAUUCAAUCUCAAAUUGUUACCCAAAAGCAGAAAUUUAAAUUUAAAUGCACACAGGCCACAUCCCAAAGCACCUCAAAAACUACAGAAAGAGCUAACUAACUAGCAACAACCUGCAA